GCCUCCAAGGGAAAAGGCUGAUUUGGAACAACACAGAGCUGGGUCUUCCUGGGCUUCUCAUCUUGGCUGUGCCCUGAGGAUCUGCUGCUCCUCUCCCAUCCUUCUGCAACUUUCCUGCUGGACAUGCUGAGACUUUUCCCUCUGGAAAGAGCCCCCUGGAGAUGACUCACCACACUCCCCCUGCCCUGUGAGACAGGAGAGCUGGUGUGGCCACUGUGGGAAGCCAAGAAGCAGCAGCCGAAGCAGAGCUGUUCUGAAAUAAGUGCUUAGGAAUGCUCUGACCUCUUGCUUCACCAAUGCACCAUUUUUUUCCCUUUCUUUUUAUUUGUAUGGUUGUUGUUUUGUUUUGUUUUGUUUUCCAGAGAGAACACUAAAAGAUCUGUUUGUACAUAACUUUAAUCUGCAUGCACACACACGGAUUUAGCCUGGGCCAGGGGAAAAGAAAGGGGAUCACAGCUCUGCCAGUUGCUCUUCCUCAUAAUGGCAACCUGUGAUCCCAGCUUGUGCUGCACAGAUGACUAAAGAACAUAAAGAUCUCUGUCUCUCUGCAGUCUGGAAGCAGAUAAAUAAGCAUGAAAGUAGAUCUGUUGGUGAAAGCUCUUGAGAGGUAAAAAAGACAGAGAGAAAAUGAGGAUUUCUGCACAAGUGUACGAUGACAAAGGACAAAAAGGAAGGGAAGAUUGAGUGACGUACUUCAGGAGAAGGCCAGCCCCUGGAGAGACCCUGCAGUGGAGUACUUGCUAGAGUCCACAAAAGACUGGUCUGAUAAAGGACGACAACAGGGAAUAAGAGAGGAAAGAAAGAAAAAGGACGGCAUUAGUAAGCUGAAAUAUUACUUGUGUUUAUCAAAACAGCAGGUCUUUAAAAGACACAGCCUCUCAAUUCAGCAGUAUCAGCUGGGUUAGAGAUAGGGUGGCUGCCAAACACCUGCAGGGCACGAGGCGGGCUGGGGCUGGAGUCCAGUUGCUCUGUCCAGGAGGAACGUCAGGACAGAGCCCAGCAGGGCUGCCCCAGCUCGGUGUGGCUGGGAGCCCGGGGCUCAGAGCUGCUCUGGGGUG